GACGAACGCUGGCGGCGUGCUUAACACAUGCAAGUCGAACGGAAAGGCCCUGCUCUUGUGGGGUGCUCGAGUGGCGAACGGGUGAGUAACACGCGAGUAACAUGCCCUUGUCUUUGGGAUAACUCCAGGAAACUGGGGCUAAUACCGGAUAGGAGCUCCUGCUGCAUGGUGGGGGUUGGAAAGUUUCGGCGGUUGGGGAUGGACUCGCGGCUUAUCAGCUUGUUGGUGGGGUAGUGGCUUACCAAGGCUUUGACGGGUAGCCGGCCUGAGAGGGUGACCGGCCACAUUGGUACUGAGAGACGGCCCAGACUCCUACGGGAGGCAGCAGGGGGGAAUAUUGCAGAAUGGGCGGAAGCCUGAUGCAGCAACGCCGCGUGCGGGAUGACGGCCUUCGGGUUGUAAACCGCUUUCGCCUGUGACGAAGCGUGAGUGACGGUAAUGGGUAAAGAAGCACCGGCUAACUACGUG
rnacentral:rRNA from 1 species